UCUUAUUGUUAGUCGCGUCGCCGAUAGAAAUAAAGUUUCUCGCUGCGACUUCCCUUGCUAUUCGAGUAACCAGCAUCGAGCCUUGGGGACGAACGGAUCAAUCGGUUCGGUCUUGGCCGAAUGUUCGUACGCGGCUGCGCGUGACAGUUCGAUCGCGCCGAAACCGAUUCCGAGGAUUGAAAAACGACGAGGCGACUGUGAGAAACUUGUUGAUCCGCGCCGCGACGGGUACAGCGCGCGGGCUCGUUAUCCCGUGAGCAACGACCACGGAGUACAUUUCAUAAUUCUACAAAUAGUUUCACUGGCGCAGUUAAAUCUGUCUGCGGCGACCCCGAUUUCGCGCAGCCACGAGCCGAGUGCUGAAACCUUGACUCGCUCCGUUCGCGGUUAGCGGGACGAAAACACCGAAACCUCGGGGAAAAAUCGGCUGAGCCGGUAGCUCGCUGCGCCUUCGAGUUAUCCGAGAUAAUUAGCUGCCACAAUCGGCUUCGAAUUUGGCGCUCGGACUAUCGGCCGCGUGCGUAACGCCGCGCGUUCGCCGCAACGAUUUCUAAGAAUUAAUAGUCAGGAAUGACGAUAUUACAUUCUUGCCCCAGUUUAACAUUUUAUCGCGCCGGUAUAUGGUAUUGCUAUGUGAUAUUCGCGGGGCCGGAGUGACACGGGACAUUCGAAUUAGAGGGAACUUCAGGGAAUCGUUGGUUUGAACGUUAAUCGUGGUACAGUGAACGAUGAGUAGGAAUAUUGGUGUUUUCACAAAGAUAAUAGUGUAGAAGAUAAUAUAUGAUAUCAAGAGAAAAAUAUAAUAUGUAAUAAUAAUGUCCUCUACGUCGUUUGAAGUAUUCGAAAUUCACUAGAAUCUAUUUCGUCAAACAAUCUCAAACUUUUAUGUCAUACUUGUAACAUGAUAACAGAACUCAUAAGUAACCUACUAUUUCCAAACUUUGCCAAACAGCUUCAUUCCAAUAGAUUCUAUUCUACAACGGAAUGAAACAACCAACAGUCCAUUCCCAGGAUUGUCUUAACAACGGACGCUAUUAACACGAAAGUAUCUACUAUUAAACCACGUUCCGCAACGAAUUACUUUGCAUACAUGGAAUGCUCAUGCACAGGCGCGUGCACCGAUUAAACUUGUUCAAUACCGAUUUCCUCGGAACUUGCACGAUCGAACGUGCUUGCGUUUCCGAUCAACGCAAUCAAGAGAGCUUGACGUUACGCCAUCUAAACGAGCAACGAAAACGAUUCGCAGCGAACGCCGAAAAUCGAAAGCGACUAAUCGGCAUGGCAAAGCCUGGCGAAUCGAACGUUCCAUCCCCCUGCACGCUCUCCUGGGUUCCAGCAAUUUGAAGUUUUCCGCGGUGAAUCAUCCUUCCCGGCGCAAAUAAAAUCGCUGUACUACUUUCCACGCCCACUCACGCGUGCACGCGCAUUCAUCGGCAUUCAUCGGUCAUAGAGAAGCCCCUCUCCGAUUCUUCUGGCGUCCGUGCGCGCCGAUGCCGGCCGUGUGCACGGACACCGGCGCGGAACGACCAAGCUGAUCACGCGAAGAACGUUGAAAUGUCCAAUCACUGGAUACAGCUGACUAAAAAGCGAAUUAUUGGCUCGAUGACUUCUUGCAAGACGUUGCUUGAAGAUUUCUUGUUCAAGAAUACUAACCCAUAAAUUAACGUUGCACUUCUACUGCAUAUGGACCUACGAUGCAUCAAUGGCAACCGAAAAGAAUUGCGCAAAAACAGACGAAGAGAAUUCCAGGAAAGAGUCCAGCUAAAAAAGGCGAUGAAAAAUGUCCUUAAGCCAAACUGAGCUUCCGAUGGACCAUUUAGUAGUAGCUGGCCGAGUGGAAACACUGUGUAGGCUUCAAUCUUGUGUCUUGACGGACGGUAACAAAAGAAAGACCGGAUCAUCCAUUUUUCUUUCGUUUUCCUCGUUCUGUCUCAUACAUAUUCAUUGGCUGAAUUAAUUUCAUUUCUUUCGUUUGUGUAGAACUUCGUCGAUGUAAAAGUAUUUAGCACGAUACAAGCGUAACAUUUUAAAUGUACUAAUGGUAAUGUUAAUAGUAUCGAUUAAUAGUACUAUCGACAGUAUUAAUCGAUCAUCGUUUUCCUAAUUACAUUAAUACUAACACAUAACAAUGACAGCAGAAACUACGUACUCUAAUAAUCUAAUCCCACAAAGUUUACUAAAAUUUAAAUAAAAACGCCUCGUUUGCGACUCAUUAAGAAAACACAGGAUUAAAAAACAAAUAUUCCGUAGCUAUCACGGUCCACCUCUCGGAGGAAUUUUUCAUAUUUGUU